rnacentral:rRNA from 1 species
UACCAGCACCCCGAGUGGUCGGGACGUUUAUUGGGCCUAAAGCAUCCGUAGCCGGUUCUGCAAGUCUUCCGUUAAAUCCACCUGCUUAACAGAUGGGCCGCGGAAGAUACUAUAGAGCUAGGAGGCGGGAGAGGCAAGCGGUACUCGAUGGGUAGGGGUAAAAUCCGUUGAUCCAUUGAAGACCACCAGUGGCGAAGGCGGCUUGCCAGAACGCGCUCGACGGUGAGGGAUGAAAGCUGGGGAGC